rnacentral:rRNA from 1 species
GUGUCAGCCGCCGCGGUAAAACGUAGGAGACAAGCGUUAUCCGAAUUUACUGGGCGUAAAGCGCGUGCAGGUGGUUGGGUAAGUGGCGUAUGAAAUCUUCUGGCUCAACUGGGAGAGGCUGCGCCAAACUGCCGAACUAGAGGGCGGUAGAGGGAGGUGGAAUUCCCGGUGUAGUGGUGAAAUGCGUAGAUAUCGGGAGGAACACCUGUGGCGAAAGCGGCCUCCUGGACCGUACCUGACGCUCAGACGCGAAAGCUAGGGGAGUGAACGGGAUUAGAUACCCCAGUAGUCC